CACAGAGGUGGCUCAAGUCCCCUUCCUCACAGGAGUCUGGAAGGCUACUGCAUAGAGUUUGCCUUAGUAGAAAAUGGACCAUUUUUGAAGCCUAGGUCCCUGCAGGCCUCCUGGCUAACUCGGCUGUCAAAGCCCCUUUUCUCUGCUUUCUGAGCUGUGUCCAGGGCUGAGUGGGUGCUCCCUCUGUUCCUCUGCUUUCUGAGCUGUGUCCAGGGCUGAGUGGGUGCUCCCUCUAUUUCUCCGCUUUCUGAGCUGUGUCCGGGGCUCCCUCUGUUUCUCUUCCAGCCACCAGAGGACCUUCGUUCUGGAGGUGAUGGGACGACACUGUGGGUACGUACCUGCGGUGGGUCCGGUGGACGUGGUUCAGGUGGGGGACCCUUAGCAUCAUCUCCCUGAGGCUGCACACCACAUCCUGAAUGCUCCCGUGGAGAGUCCUGGAGGGGCUGGCGUCCCGCUUCAUACCUGGCAUUAGGUACCUGGCCCUGGUGAGUGCCUUGGCCUGCGGUGCAGACUGGGUGUUCCUUCCAGAAUCUCCGCCAGAGGAAGGCUGGGAGGAGCAGAUGUGUGUCAAACUCUCGGAGAACCGUGCCCGGAAAAAAAG
rnacentral:sRNA from 1 species